rnacentral:rRNA from 1 species
CCUACGGGUGGCUGCAGUGGGGAAUAUUGGACAAUGGGGGGAACCCUGAUCCAGCCAUGCCGCGUGUGUGAAGAAGGCCCUCGGGUUGGAAAGCACUUUCAGUGAGGAAGAACGCCUGGUGGUUAAUACCCAUCAGGAAAGACAUCACUCACAGAAGAAGCACCGGCUAACUCCGUGCCAGCAGCCGCGGUAAUACGGAGGGUGCGAGCGUUAAUCGGAAUUACUGGGCGUAAAGCGCGCGUAGGUGGCUUGAUAAGCCGGUUGUGAAAGCCCCGGGCUCAACCUGGGAACGGCAUCCGGAACUGUCAAGCUAGAGUGCAGGAGAGGAAGGUAGAAUUCCCGGUGUAGCGGUGAAAUGCGUAGAGAUCGGGAGGAAUACCAGUGGCGAAGGCGGCCUUCUGGACUGACACUGACACUGAGGUGCGAAAGCGUGGGUAGCAAACAGGAUUAGAUACCCUAGUAGUC